rnacentral:misc_RNA from 1 species
GUUCAUUAACAAAACAAGGCUCAAAAGCCCAAUACAACAAAGUACAGGAAAUAAAAGCUCACAAAAAAGGGCCCUAUCUAACACACCCCGGUCCAGGAACCCAUACAUCCCAUCUGGAUCCCUAGGAUCGAAAGAACAACUCAAUCCUCAAGCUCCCAGCGCCGUCAAACAAGGCAAGAGACCCAGUUGAAACUACCGACGCCAUGCUCAGCUAGUGGCUCGAGUUGAAGAGGAAACUGAUAGGAGAUCAGCGGCAGGCUUCCACCCAUGAGGAAAGACUGGAGAAAGGCAUCUAACCUCCUCCCGCAAAAGAAAACAACUCAAGCUUAGAUAGAGCCCAAGUUCAACGGUGAAACGAAACAUGCAGAGCACUGCUCGAUCAAAAGAACACAACAAAUCCAAAGGCAUUAGGCAGUGCUCCUAUAAGAGACCGGAUGCUCACAAAUCCGAGGUGGUAUUGUUAGUGUCACUAGGAAGGUACCUAACAACAAUGAACCCAAGGAUUAGAAGUAAGCCUAGAUUAACACCCAUAGUAAAACAGAACUCAACCCCUUGCUGAAGCAAAAGGAUUUAGGGAGGGGCACAUGCAAGGCCUUGGAACUCCUUCGAUGAAGAACCGUCUGCAAUAAAAAAAGCAGACAAAAUGACUAUAUACACCCCACCAGAGGAGAAAGAAGGAGAGACCCAUCCUCCAGCAAGGAAAGGAAAAGUCGACCCCUGCUUGGAAGGGGCAGGGGCGGCAGCUUGAACGAAAGUGGAAGAGAACUUGAG